rnacentral:rRNA from 1 species
GAUGAACGCUAGCUACAGGCUUAACACAUGCAAGUCGAGGGACCGGCGCACGGGUGAGUCACACGUAUCCCACCUGCCCUUUACUCGGGGAUAGCCUUUCGACAGAAAGAUUAAUACCCGAUAUAAAGGAUGGGGAUGCGUUCAAUUAGGUUGUUGGUGAUGUAACGGCCCACCAAGCCUUCGAUGGAUAGGGGUUCUGAUAGGAAGGGCCCCCACAUUGGAACUGAGGCACGGUCCAAACUCCUACGGGAGGCAGCAGUGAGGAAUAGUGGUCAAUGGGCGUUAGCCUGAACCCGCCAAGUAGCGUGAAGGAGGAAGGCUUAUGGGUCGUAAACUUCUUGUAUAUAAGAAUAGGUAUUAUAUGAAUAAGGAUCGGCUAACUACGUGCCAGCAGCCGCGGUAAUAC